rnacentral:rRNA from 1 species
CUCAAGAAGUUAGCGGCGGACGGGUGAGUAACACGUGGGUAACCUGCCCAUAAGACUGGGAUAACUCCGGGAAACCGGGGCUAAUACCGGAUAACAUUUUGAACUGCAUGGUUCGAAAUUGAAAGGCGGCUUCGGCUGUCACUUAUGGAUGGACCCGCGUCGCAUUAGCUAGUUGGUGAGGUAACGGCUCACCAAGGCAACGAUGCGUAGCCGACCUGAGAGGGUGAUCGGCCACACUGGGACUGAGACACGGCCCAGACUCCUACGGGAGGCAGCAGUAGGGAAUCUUCCGCAAUGGACGAAAGUCUGACGGAGCAACGCCGCGUGAGUGAUGAAGGCUUUCGGGUCGUAAAACUCUGUUGUUAGGGAAGAACAAGUGCUAGUUGAAUAAGCUGGCACCUUGACGGUACCUAACCAGAAAGCCACGGCUAACUACGUGCCAGCAGCCGCGGUAAUACGUAGGUGGCAAGCGUUAUCCGGAAUUAUUGGGCGUAAAGCGCGCGCAGGUGGUUUCUUAAGUCUGAUGUGAAAGCCCACGGCUCAACCGUGGAGGGUCAUUGGAAACUGGGAGACUUGAGUGCAGAAGAGGAAAGUGGAAUUCCAUGUGUAGCGGUGAAAUGCGUAGAGAUAUGGAGGAACACCAGUGGCGAAGGCGACUUUCUGGUCUGUAACUGACACUGAGGCGCGAAAGCG